UAUAGUAUAGUAUAUAUAGUAUAGUACAGUACGCUUGAUGGAUCGCAUGGACUUGAAGCUGUUUUGGCUGGGACUCCUAUUGCUAGUGCGGUUGAAGGCGUUGUUGAUGGUAAGGUGAUUGGUGAUAUGAAGACGGAUUGCCCGAAACAGAAUAAGGGUGAAAGAAUGGCGGAUAAGGGUAAAUCUAUUGAUGAGAAAACUGCCUCUGAACAGUAUGCGAUUGGGAGCGGUCUAUUAACAUGGCUGCACAACAAUCAAUUGAUUGAGAUCCACAAUCCUCUUGUAGAGGUCGAUCUCUCCGAGCAUAAAGGUAAAGGAUAAAAGUAUAAGCCAGUAAACUAUGUUAGGUGUCUAUUUGACAUAAAGGAUCUACCGCUCUUUACAGAACUUCCUAUGGUGUCCCCUCCGCGAGAUUGGAAGAAUCGCAGAGCAUCAAAAUGGGUGAAGGCCUCUGACAUGAAUCGUCUCACACACAAAGCACGUGAUCUAUCAGGCGGUUACUUAAAUUCUGAGGGAGCGGUUUCUAGGAAGACCACACUGCUAUCGAGUAAAAAGGACGAGGGUAAUUUUCAUAUCUACAUGGUAAAUGAUAGUGAGACUGAAGUAGUACUCUCUAGUCUGAACAAGCUGCAGAGCGUACAAAAUAAAAUAAAUGCUAAGUUUUUCAGUAUUCUUAGGGAUCAUUGGGAUGAUUUAGUGAAUAUAGGACUGGUCAUGCCUAGCAUUCUGUCUUCUAUUAAUAGGAAGGAAGGGGAAGAUAGACUCAGAAGGCUCUGGUUGAAGAACAAAAAGAUUAUGGAUUAUUUCUCUGUUCAAGACUUGAUCAACAUAUGGGAGAAGAACAUUCAAGCGGCGCAUUACGAACAAUAUCUCUUGCAACUAGCCGAUGCUUUGGUGGGAUAUAAGAUCUACUUCCACCAAUACGGGAGGGAUGCGUAUUUCAAAUCAAUCAUGAGCUACAGCUUUCAAUCAUGAAAUCCUAUCUGGAGGAAGAAUCGCUAUUCCCAGUUUCCUCUAUCCCUGCCAAUCCUGCAACAACGGCUAGGCUACAUCCUCAGCAUCAACAGAAGCAGAAGGCUUGUCUUUCCUCGCUAAUAAACUGCUUCCCGAGCUAGAAGAAGGAACAAGGGUUUUCGCCUAUUCCAUGCAAAAGACGGCUCUACUUCUUUGCCUAUUUAUUUUCUAACAACCCUGGCCGCAUCCUUGACUUCGAAACAACCAACAGGAGUUCCUCCCAUCAGCUCAAUGGAAUGAAUUCUCUUGCAGUGCAGCCCUGGUGAUAAUACCAUUAGGAGGUGAUUGCGAGUCCACUAUGAGAUCGGGUACUUCCACUAGUCCUAUUCCUUUGCCGGGCAUGAUUUGUCUAUCAACGAUUCUCAAGUCGAGUAGACUCUCUCUUACCGCGAUGCUCAUUAUCUUCCGGUUCAGGGAAUCAGGACCUACAUCUCGUGUGGGCUAGAACCAGCCAAUAGCUUGACUCCGUUCACCGCUGCUUCCUUCAUCCGAUAUUGCUAGUCCAACGGAAAGCUUUGCUUAGCUUACUGGACUUAAGAGCUUUCUGACUUGUCUCGAAAAGGCCGUCUCACUGUGUACGGAAGGCUCAGUUUACUCGCGGUCCAUUCCACCACGAAAGGGAGAAAGGUACUGCUAUCAUGGGGAACACCUAUCUUUGAAAUCCUAUCUUUCAGCUAACGCUAGUCUAGUCUCCAUUGGAAUAAAUAGGGCCAGCCUGGCUCAACCAGAUGAAUAGUUUAUCUAUCAGCAGGGUCGGGGCAUAGCGUAGAAGUUCGGUCAGUCUCCGUUGGCACGGUACACUUUGUUCACUUUGUUUUUAAUACGUUACUUUUCGGCUUAAUAAUAACAAGCAUUAUUCCUGGGCACCGGCAACCCUACUACUGACCAGGGAAGAGAUCAUGAAUAGGGCGUGGUGCAAAUCUAGUAAAUGGUGCCGUCUCGUAUCAGUGAACGUUGUUUGCUUGAUGGAUUGACGGAAGUCCGCUAUUGAUUCGGGAACCACAAGUCGAAUAGGAAUACGUAGAUCAAUCUCUGAAAGCUGCCAGUCCAGAGUAGCUUAUUGGAAAUGUCCUCUGGAUUGAGUCCCUCGAUAUAGCAAUAUUAUUUGCCGAGUCAAGUAUAGUUCAAGUACUACUGCCAACAGGCGCAGGCUAUUAGUCUGAUUCCCUAGUAGCAAAAGUGGAUUCCCUCAUUCAGAAGUAGAUUACAUACAGACAGACAGGCCCGCAUUGCUUCGAUCCAGAGGUUCUUCUGCGAAUCCCUACCAUUACUGGACAAGAGUGGUGGACUCCCAUCCCUGAAACCAGCAGACGGAUCCAAUACACAUAAGACUUUUUUUCUCGGGAAAUUCCGAAUGUCAUGCCCCACAAGUUAGUUGCCCAAGCGCUCCCUAGGAGGGCAGUCUACCACAAGAUAGAGUUUGGGCCUGGAGCCAAAGCCCCAACCCCUCCAUUUUUUGUUGAGCUCAGGAAAGAAUUUAAGGAAGUCACAUCGGCCCUCAUCAAGAGGAAUCUGAUCUCGCUUUGAUUCAUCCGUUGCGCGGCGGGACCCACCACUCUCUGUAAUUUCCCAGUUCCCCAUCGUAUCAUAUCAGGUUUAGGGGCUACCUGGGAUAGAUGAGUUUAUUUGUGGUGCUACUACUUUACUUUUUCUGAGUGAAUAACGUGAGUGAGUAAGCAAGAAGUGUUAGCCUUCCCCAUUGCAAAGAAUUCCUCGCAACAAGACGGAUUUCUUCUUUCCAGAGCAGUAGUGGAAGUGUUCGUAUUUCUUUCAAAGUGCCAGAAUCCAAGUGGCAAGGAAAAGCUUUAUUUGCAUAAUGAAUCGUGAUAUAAAGAGGAUUGGAAGUGCCGUGGUUCAGGUUGCGGAGCGGUGAUACGACUUUUCCAUAUCAAAGAUUCGACUCGAAAACCUUAUGAACCUGUUUUCCUUACUUCAACUAGGUUUCUUCUUCCUUUUAUCCAUAGGAGGCAAGGAUAGCAAGGGUAACAAAACAGAUUAAGCAAUCAAACGGAUGUGCGAAGGAAAGUAGGACUUUUGACUAUGGCUGGCAUAAAAAGUUCACUUUGAUCGUACACUCUACUAGGCAAAACUGGUGUGAGUGGUUUUUACUAUGGGGGGCAUAAACAGUUGAAUAUGGAGAGUCGGCUGAGUUUAGGACAAAAAGACAAGGCGUAGUCUUUUGAGUCUGAUCAGUCUAGUGUUGCCUAUGUUGGGUAGGAAAUAAAAGAAUCAAAGCCCUCGACGUUAGCAGUUCUUAGCGGGACUCGACGUUCCUAACAGCUGUUGAGCUCUCGAAGUAUGAGAUCCUGAAUGCAUCCUCUUUCUUUCCACUUCAUCUUGGGAAUCUGGAAUGGUUGUUUAUGGCUGGGUGUGACAGAUCAGACUGAGUUUAGAAUCAGACUUUCUAUCUAUCUAUCUAGCUGUAUUGCCACUCCAACGGUUCUUUUUCUUUGAUUAUGCCCCGUAUCUCUCUGAGCCUAUUUGAUCUAUUUGCUAUAUCUAAGUUCGAGUGUGAAGUUCGCUCCGGUUGAAGUGUAGGGCUUCCUAAUUCCUGCUUCGUCCUCCUAUGAAUGCACUAGUAUAGAAGGUUGGCCCGUCACCGUAUACCAUCGUAAGAUGAACUGGAAAUUCGUAGUUUCAACCAGUUACACAAAAUAGGCAAGUUGAGGUUUGUUCAGCGUGUGUUGCCUCCAACUAUAACGAGGCCCUUUGACUUGAGGUACGAUCUUACCUCUUAACGCGCUUUCCUGCUAGAAGAAGUGAGGGUGAUGUCCAAUGACCUGUUGAAGAAGCUUGCUGUGUAGAUAGGUUUCGUGAACCUAAUGUAGAACCUGUAAACGAAAGACUAGAGUCCCGGAACCGCUGCCAUUCAAAAAGCUAUCAAUCUGAUUCGAAAUACCAAGGUUCGAAGACCUCUGGCUUUGAUUGUGUGCCCUUUCUUGUUCCUAAGGAUUUCUAACCAGACCUUACCUUAGGCGGACGUAUACUCAAUUAUCAAUAAGACUAAAUCGUGAUCGACCCGCCAUCAUCUCUUGCCUGAACUGACUUACCAGUCACAGGGCCGAGAACACAUGAUCGAGGGAAAUUUCUUUCAUCACUACGAAAACUGGUUUUGCUGAUUGACAAAACGGAUCUCUUCCCUGUGAGCCGCCUUUAGGAAAACUGCACCAAAGAUGUGUCUUUGUUCGGUUCAGAUCAACAAAGCAUUUGCUAAUACCAGUCUGAAGGCAACGCUAUGCAGCUCCAUUUCCUCUUAAAGUGAAUGGCCUUCCUAUUAUAUCGAAUAUUUGGAGUUGCGGAGUUUUUCAUAGAAUGGGGUGUAGGCAAAUACCAACGUCGGUGAUUAUAGGGAAAUAGAUGCUUUCUUACUUAUGUUCUAUACUAGCACAUCAGCACCUACCUUUUCUCAUUGCUUCGUGAGGGUAGACAAUUGCCUGACUCGUACGUAACUGGGCCUGUUGUUUUCUAGUGCUUGAUAGUCUGUAGUGUAGUCUAUGAAAAGAAAGAAGUCACUUGUUCACAAGCCAAGAGUUCCAUUGACUCCUCUCUUAUCUACGUUCAUGCUUACUUAACCAGUAGUGAAUGGAAUAAAGUAAGAAGUCUUUCCACACUCGUAACCUGUAAUUAAUGGGAGUCGGUACAGAUUGGGUGUAGUGAAGAAUGGAACCCCCUACUCUGACUUGGUCUAGUGAAUGUCAGUCCGUACUCAUACUCGGUCUAGUGAAUGAUAGGUAGGUAACAGUGAAGUAGUCGGCGCACCGAGAAGCACACGAUCUAAUCUACUCUUAUUGUCAGUCUCUCCAGAAAGAAGAAGCACACCCUUGCCUUUAUUCUCUUCUAUGUUCUUGUCUCUAGUGUGGAGUUUUUCCUGUCAUAUCUCUGAACUGGACUACCAAAACAUCUACACUGCAUCAAGCCACGUUGUAAGAACCUCGACUAAGACUAAGAAAGGAAACAUCCUAUAAAGCUCUUGCUGGGUGAUUGUUCAGGCUUCUUCCGGUGGAUUGGUAUUGGUAGAGUUUGUUUGCCGUAUCUACACAGGUAGAGAACCUUGUUUCAUAGGUUGGGCCUAUAAAUAGAUAAGCGCGAGAGUACUUUACCGGUACCGGUUUAAAGGCAUUAUUCACUCAAUUCUGCAUUAUUUCUUCUGGCAGCAGGUUAUCUUUCUGCAACGCCCAAACAAAGGUGGAACACGUACCCAGAGAUCCGAAAAGCUACUUCUCAAGAGUCCACUAAACCACUUGUCCCAGGCGCGGGCUAAAUCACUCUGGAACUGGAAUCGCCCGGCGCGAAUCAAGUAGUCGUUAUGUUUGGGAUUCAAGGCAAGCUGGAAUCAGAAUCUGCAGGAAGACAGGGAGGAUCUGGAGCCCAUGUAGGUACGGCCUAAGCUGAGCUGCUAGCGGCAUCAACUCUUUUCCCCGCAAAUAAGAAAAGUAAACAUUCCCUCCCUAGCCUACCCGCCCUUUAUUUAAGUGGAAACAACCACUAUAGGCUACUUAGACUAAAAUAAAAAAUAGGGGCCCUUCUCUAAGUCUAAGAAGGAAGCAGCAUUACUUCAUUUUUUUUACCAAGGAAUGGACUCACUUUCCACUCCUUGAGCCUGCCAUUGAAAUGAAAACAGACUUUAGGGACUCGUUUUCGAAACGAUCCGGUACCAAAUUCCAUGCUAAAAGCGGUAAUCAGAUGCCGUUACCUCUUUCUCUCUUUCUUUCUACUGGCCAUAGUCAUCUCGAUUCUCACUCCAUACCAUACGACAAUAUCUAUUUGACACAAGACAUGACAUGAUCUGGCGGAUCAGAACAGAAAUGGGUUUAGCCUUCUCCCACUCCGGAUUUGCGUAUUCCCUCGGGAAAAUGGGGUAGGCUACUUUUGAGUGAGAUGCGGUUUUCUCAAAAGCAAUCCAUCGUUUCGAGGGUGCCGGGCUAUGGUUCAGUUCGAGUCUAGUUUCCUGAAAAUAUUCCGUGGUUUUGGCCCAAGGAAAGGAGUAGUGACGGAGUUCAUUCAUUAGCAAGGAUCGGACCCAUUCCAGCUUAGAACUUACCACUAGACUCUUGGAAUAGGAAAUUGGCUUUCCCGAGAAGGGGACUAGCACUUGAUUUCGUUGCCUAAUAGAAUCCCAUUCACUCUUGACUCUUGGAAUGAGUCCGGUGGAAAGUAAAGUAGGAAGGAGGGGCGAAAUUCAGUUGUGUUGGACUAGAUUCGAGAAAUGCAUAAUCAAAGCAUUUUCCGUUCUUCAGCCAGCCAUGCCUGGAAUCCAUCGUUGUGCCAAGAAAUAGUGCAACUUUUUCCACUAGGUGAGAUGCACUUUUGGCCCAUAGCGAGAUAGGAUAGAAGUUUUCAGAUCAGCUCCCAAUGAGAUUAGUAGAAUCUAAUGAGGAGAAUCAAAAGAGAGGUUGCCAUAGCAGUCAGUGGUUUUGCCUGGGACAGACGUGGCGCACUUGAUUGACCUUGCUUCCGGACUAGCUUCUCUUUUCAUACCUGGCACGGCAGAUUGAGUGAGUGAGUCCACUGUUUACGUUACAACUAGCAGUAGCGUGUCAAUUCUAGUCAGAAAAAAAGCUUUCCAUUGAUUCAUGAUAGUGCCGUGCCGUGCCGUACUCAACUGGUAUCAAAAGUGAGAAAUAGGCGAUAUUCUCCUAAAGAAAGGACGGUUGGAUUUUAUUUAGACAGAUUAUAAGAAACCUUUUUGGAUCCUUAGCGAAACAUCCCUUAUUAUUAAAUGCAUAUGGGCUUGACUUGAUGGUUUUUGAUGAAGUCGGUUCCCACUUUUCCAGUCAGGUUGGGAGACUUUUUUAGGGAAUUGACUCGUGUUUGACUUGAUCUGUCCACUUUGCAUUACUCUCUUUUUUCGAGCAUUACUUUCUUUGUUCAACUCAUAAGUGGAGUGUGUACGACUCCGAGAACAGUGAUCGAAUAACCAACCUCUUUCCUUGCGUGUUCAUUUUCUUUCCUUGCUCUACUUUUUGGCGAGAAAAGAAGAGCGAAGUAAAACAAUGAGUACCUGCCCUAUAGGCAGCAAAAGCCCUCAAUCUUUUUUUCUUUUUUCUAUUUGACCACCAUUUUUUUCUUAUUUCAACGCUUCUUCAUAAAAACGACUUUCAUCAGUCCGACAUUAGAAGGAAAAGAACGAUGAAAGAUUCCAACUUACUUCACUCAAAGAGUAGAAGCUUCAUCCUCCUAGCGAGCCGAGCCAGCCGAACUCAACCUUUUCUUAUCUAGAACUGCCAACAGUGGAAAGCAUACCACAUUAUCUCCAUUCCAUACUGAGUCCACAGCCCAGGGCUUUCUUUAAUAGCGGCUAUCCCCCGGAGAAUCCUUGCAUUUUGUUGAAAGGAAGCCUCCUCGGCAUGAUUUGCACGACCGAGGUCUUACUCUUUCGUUAUGCUUUAACAUUUCUAUUUUAUAUGUUAUUGGAUAUUUCAGUUAAUUACUUUCAUUCCCGAGGCUGGAUUUCCUUACUCAAUGGAGAGCGAAGCUCCCCUCAAUUCUGGCCAGGAUUCAAAGACCUAUUCGGGCCUAGCCCUCCUUUUCUUUCUUUGUGAGGUGUCGACAGAACUCACUUCAGAGAUAGAGUGGCGGGUACUUCUGGGUCGUAUUCUCGCUCAGGGAAAGCUACACUAUAGGAAGUCAGGAAGUCAAACAACGGAAGCAGGUCUGGCGUAUCGGAUCAAUCUGCGACUGGCCUUUUAUUCAUAACAUUAGUAGUUACUCAUUGGGUGCCAUCAGAUGAACGAACUAGUUUUCCACAGAAGAGGAUUUGAGGUAGGGCUGCUAGAGAAACUGACAAGGAAAUCACAAGAAAUAGAGAUGCUUCACGCCCAGCCAAUCUUGAAAGCUUGUACAGAGAUCCAGAAUUGCAUCUUCAGAAGAAUAAUAAGCUAAGCGUCGCGUCGAAUCUGGACUGGAAAGUCUCUAGAAGGAUUUGCACUCCUACACUGCCUUAUCAACGGAUUCCUGAGAGAAGGGGCCGGGCUAUUCAUUCCUUCGAGGUGCCGCAGUAAAGGUAGACUAGCUUAUUGGGCAAAAAGGUGCCGUACUUCUCAAUUGUGAGACUAGAGCUUGAUCCUCUCUUACGAGAUUUCUAGUUCGAGAUUUCGAGUUUCCUGAAAAGAAAGCGAAGAAAGAGUUCUGUAUUGAAGAUGUCAACUGCCAACUGCGUGCUUUCCCCAAUUCUUCUCUUACGAAAUGGAUCGUUGAUUCCUACCACUGAUGGAUUUAUGCCGACCUUACCUUACCUUAAAAGGAGAAGGAACGGGGCUUCCAGAGUCUGAAAUGCAACUUCCAAUUGACAUAGAAUAGAAUGAUCCAACGAACCCAUACUCGUACUCGGGAAGGCCAGCUGGAAAUGCAGUGCAGUAAAGUAAGUAAUUCAGUAAGUAAUGCACUCAGUGCCAGUGCCGGUUAAGGGUCUAUUGCCAGUGCUAGCGGAAAGAACCGGGCUAUGCGCAGUGGAAUAGAAAAACGAAUAUCAGGAUUUCAUAGAAACUAAUGGAAAAGAUGGAAAUAAUACCGAACUCUUCUAUUGAUUUAUGGCUCAGGGCAGGUGUAACUUAGUGUGAUAGUCUAGUUUGUUUCAUUUAGGAGUGCGUAUAAGUGAGCUUGGUACCAUUCCAUCUUCUUAGCUGUAGGCUUAUUGCUAAGGAUCGAGUGUGGACAGAAAGGUUUGAUGAUCUAGGUCAUUAGUCUCCGGUUUCUCUUUAUGUGUUUGUUCGUCUAUUAUAGUAUAUACGACAGAUUCAUAGCUUCUCAGAUCUUUAUGCGGGCGCAUACAUCUCGAAUCCCUCACCUAAGAAGGAAAGCGAUAGCCAUCCAUUUCUUAUCCUUCGGCCAGGCCGGAUCUAGAUUAGUGACCUUGCUUCUUGACUUUCCCCUGCUUGUUCAAAUCAUGAUAUCCUUGCCCUGUAGGCAUCCCUCAUACGAUCCGAUCUACUUUGAUUGUUUCAUAGCAUAGGUUUGUUUACAAGAAGUGGUAGCUUUCUGUGUUCCUAGCUUGAUGGCUUUUCUUACAUUCCUAUUUCCACAUUCCUAUAUUUCCUUUAUUUUCAGGUCUGGCACUGGGCAUAAGUUUUUGGUCGGCGGGAAGAUACACCCAGCACAUAUGUUUUAGGUCAGAGUCCCAUCCUACAUUGACUAUUUCCACACUUUAUAGAAAGCAUUUGGUACAUUGGGCAACCCGUUUGAUCACACAAGAGAUGAAAUGGAAUUAUUCUUGGCAUAUUUCCUAUCAUUUCACUACCGAGAUCUGAUCAAUAGGAGGGCUCACCCGGGUUCUAGUUCAAUCACUCCAAUCCAUCUUUUCUUUUCUCGGGCCAAGAUGCAAUAGUUUACCGGUCUAGUUCGUUUUCCCGAGAACCUACCUGCCCUAAGCGAAGAAUGCCUAUUCUGGACCAAUUUCUAAGGGAAGAAGAGAAGGUUUGGCACCUGCUUCGGAGAAAUGGUUUCUAAGUACUGGGAUCCAACCAGUUUGCUUUUUCUGACAGCACCUGGGAAAGAAGUAUUCAUUGAACAAGAACAAGGAUCUACUAGUCCAACUUUCAUUCCAAUCUCUAUUCCUAUCAUCUCGCUUUUUCGGACAAGUUUUCUUCUUAACACAGGAGAACAGGAGAUGCAAUGUCGUUAGGGCCUUCUCGGUCUCCCCAACUAGGGGAAACCUCAAAGCAAACAUCCUUCUUCGGACAAGAACUGGCCCAUCUGCAUCGAACUAUUCGAAAUCUUGAAUCCCAUUUCCCUAAUCAAAAGGGAGGGAAGGCACUUAUAGCAAAGCAGGUACGAGAUAUCGUUUCUACCAAAACCAUGCUAUCUACCAGCACCAUUCUUGGCAAUUGAGAGAAGAAGCAGUCUACCGGAGCGAGAGAACGAACCUAGCGUUUUGAGCCCUUGGAAAACAUCAUUGAUAUAUGCUAACCCGGAGAUUUCUUGGUUCAUCAUGCUAUUGCAGAAGGUUUGCAUGCAACUACAUUGAUUUUAGUAAAGGGUGCUUUAGAUGCACUUUUUUAAAAUCGAUUAGCUUUCCGGAAAUUUGACGUAGAUUCAGAAGUGGAACAGGACUAGUUAGUGCUCAGGUUUGCCCGUCAACUAAAAGCAAGCAAGCUGUUUGGUAGAUCGGCGUAUUUCAAGGAUCGGAUCGGCGUAUUGAAACAGAGAUCUCUGGUGCUGGUUAGAUCCCAAGCGUGCCAUCGGAUUCUUUAGUUUAGCCACUAGGCGAGAGGGACUUUUCGAAUCAACCAUCGACUCUCCUGAUCUCCUGAGGGAAAAUAGGGUUGCCUAAUUAGUUGUGGCCCUAAGGGAAAUCCACUUUUUCUUCUUGGGUAUCGAGGGCAAAUCCGGUUGUUGAGUGAACUCGUGAAUCAAACAAAACCCUUCUUCUCGAACUGCUAGUGACCUACCGGACUUAGAACCUGGCCUGGCUUUCGAGAGGAGAGUGAAGUGGAAGCAUGAGUGCUUACACGAACGGAAGGAAGUAGAAGUAAGCAAGCCAUAUUUCGACCCGCUUCAUUGAACCUUAGAAUGGCAAGUGCUCUUCCUGAUGAAGCCCGGAAAAACGAUCUGUAGCGACAAGCAAGAAAACAAACCUCUUUUCUGAUGAAAGUGAUUAUGGCUGCUAUGUCUCCUACCUUGCUAUCGAGAAUGGCAUUUCCAUUCCGGAAGAAUGAGAGAGAGGGAGUCUUCAACCAACUUCCUUGUUUUCUUAUCCGGGCUUAAACCAGAAACGAAGGAUCCUUACCUGCCACUACCAUAACUUUACUUAACUUAACUGCUCUUGUCAGCUAAAAUAUAUAGGACUCUUCUAAAGCAAGGAACACUUCACCAUCACCUGCAUCCCAUCAAGCAAGGCCUAAACGAACGCACCAGUACAACUACAUUAACUGCUCUUGUACAAAAGGCAGAAAGAAACCUCUCUACUCAAGCACUAGGCUAUACACUGUAAAACUAGACACACUCUUAUCCUUUCAGGCAGUGAUACCACUUCUCUGCAAGGCCAAAAGGAAGGUAUGAAGCAGGGUUGUUAUUUAGGAGUAGGAGGAUGAAGAAGAAGUUGUUUUUGUUAGAUUUAGGAAAUAGGAAGAAAGCAGAUGCUGGAUCCGAAGCAGGUUGCUAUUGGAGCUAGAGGAAGAAGAAGAAGAAGAAAGCAGGAAGAAGAACAAUAAAGUUGUUAUUUGUUUUAUUUAGGAAGCUGGUUUUAUUAAGGAAGUAGUAGCAACCACUCCUCUUUUCAUUAGGUUAUACCAAUCACCCAUACCAGAUACGAAGGAAGCUGUACCUGUACCAAUUCCCUGCAAGGCAUCUUCAAAACCUAGCAACAAAAACCAAUACCAGCCCCGCACCUUCACCAAAACCCAUUCUUCUCAAGGAAGGUUCCUGUACCUUUCCAUUACUAGUAAAAAGAUAGCUAUAAUGAUAGCACUUCCCUUCAAGGAACCAACCAUUAACAAUACCUGUACCAAUACUUAUCAAGCUUGUAAAGCUAGGAUAAAUGAUGCCACGCUUCUUCCCUUCCCUGAACGAUCCAUUACAGGCUACCACUACUGGCUACCUUUACUUUAAAGCACUGUACUAGACUAGAGUAGACUUCCAAAACAGUUCCUACUGAUCCGUAUACCAAUACCUUACUUUUAAGAAACGAAAGUGCAACGGCUUUCGAGUAAUAAAGAACCUACUUUGCCAGCCUUGAGAAGGGAAUGACCCUAGAGCCCAAGCAAACCAUCUACGCAAGGCCGAAAACCCGCCAAUCAAACCGCUAAAGCAAAUGGGCAAGAAGGUUGAGCUGAUGUAAAUAGUAAAGGUCGGAAGCUCUAGCUUAUGAAGACUCAUGUUUUGUCUUGCCUGUGUCAGCUUCCAUCUCCCGAUGUUGCUACUCGUAUCCAUUCCUCCGUCUAUAAACGACGUAAAAAAGAAGUACCAUUCUUUCUCAAUACUAGAUUCCCUUAUCCAGUGCAAGAUGAAGGGAUUUAGUGCUCGGAGGGCAGAACCUGUCUGUCAAUUGGGCCCGAUCUAGCUAAUAAGAAGCAUCAAUAGAAUGGAGUGGAGAACGCAUAGACUCACAUCCCCAGCCUUACAGUAGACAAGGUUGUCGGAUCCACGGCUCUGCUAUUGGAAGCACUACAACGGAUAUCAUACUUCAUGGGCGAGGGGAGGAUGAGUAUGACAGGCCGAUACCAACUAGAAUUCAAAUCUGUAUGCCAAGAGUUUGAUCAACUUAUUCAGGUGGCCAGAGAGGAUUCUUCGAACAAUUGCUAUUUCAUUCCAUUGGCUAGGAAUCGUAGGUAUUGGCGUACGUAUAUUCGCUCGUGUCUCGUAGGAAAGUCUAUCGAUGAAGGGAAGCACCCUCGCCCAAGGAAAAGGAUGCACUUUCGAAAGCAGGCUCGAACAGGUGAGUUGGUUGAGCAGAGAGGCAAGUCAGUAAGUCCAACCUUCAUUGUUGAAGGAACUGCGGGUUAAAGGAAGAACAGUAGGGAGUGAAGGGCCAGUGGUUUUCUGUGGGUUGGUUUCGAGGAAGUGUGAGGCCCAGGCAGGGUAUCGUAUCACGAACGGGGUUCAUCGAAGAAAGGAAACUUUCUUGGCAAAGGCAACUCCAUAAAUGAAUAUUCUAGUUAUAGAGCUUGGGAGGAAUUCCCAGAUAUCACAUAUAGUAAGUAAGGACAACCAGGAAGGAUGGCAAUCCAGUACUUGACAACGAUUUAGAGGGGAAGGGCAUGUUUCUUAUCAAUCGCGAAUUGCAUUUCAAGAUCCAACGCUGAAUCGACCAGGCCCUCGGAGGGAAAUACAUUUAGAACCUUCGGUUAGGGAGCCAGUUAGGAUAAACCCCUCUGAUCGAUGAGAUAUCGAAAGAAAAGCAAAGAAGCGAACCCACUUUCAUUACAUUUUACAGAGAACGGAUUACUAGCGAGGCUGAGUCGAAAGACGAAGGACAUACUUCAAGCAGGGUUUCUAGGGUUAGAGAAAAGAAUAUCCCUCGGAUCAGAUAGAUAGGAUAAAUCCGGCUAAGGAAGAUUGGGCCUACCCAGAUUAGGAAGAAUUGGACAAAGCAGCUGCUCGGGCUAAGGUACAGUGUUCUUCAAUGGGCCCCGCUUCAGUUCUGGUUGCUGAAAGCAGGAAGCUGGAUCGGAACUAGGAAAUCUAGGAUGGGCAUGCACUACCUUACCUUUCAAUCAACUCCUGUAUCACCUAUGGGGAUUGGAGAAUGCCUUGCAAUGAAUUACGGAUCCUUCAUGGCCUCCAGAGGAGCCUCUAAUGACCUCCCCCUUCUCGAAAGAUAUGUAGAAACAGAAAAUUGAAUAGAAGAGGAGAGCAGCAUGUUUCUCCGGUAUCUAUACUAUACUAUAUAUUACAGCAAUUGUUCGCCGUUUCCACUGCGGCCCACUUUAAUGAAGAAGGGCUGUGAACUAAAUUCGAAUUUAGGAAAACAGUUUGCCAACCUUGUCAUACCUGAUAUAGGACUGCUAUUAAUCUAAUUAUAUAAAUAUAUCGACUACUGACGGAAGAAAGCGGAUCGGCUGUAUUGUAUCGAUCUUGACCGAAGGGGAGCGGAGCGGUCUUUAACUUAAUUCGUAAGAGGAAAACGACUGUCUCUACCAUAGGAAAGGAAAUGGGAUUCAAAAUGGCCACACCCACAAAGUAACAUACACGACAAUUCUAUAAUUCUUCGUCCUUUUUCUUGAGAUAACGCGGAAAAGUAUCUUUUUGCUAUGGCGUAUGAUUUGAUACUUGCCAACACGGAAUAGAGACUCGCACUUGGGAACUCUUAGGAGUGGUUCUAAUGUUAGUCAGAUUUACUUCUUCCUAACGCGACGAGCAGAUCAGAAGUAUUUCAAGGAUUGUAAGGGUGAUACCUGGAGAGAGUGUAGCAACCCAACAUAGAUUUUUAGUACUCUAUCUUAGUAUUAAGAGAUGGAAGAGAAGGAGCAAGGGAGCCUAGGAUUAGGUGGUGGAAUUGGAAAGGGGAUAAGCAAGUUAUGUUUAAAGAGAAAAUAAUUAAUGAGACGGAGUGGAAGUUAGGUGAGGAUGCUAACUCAAUGUAGAAUGAGAUGGCUCAUUGUAUCAGUAUCACGUCAGUGGCAAAAGAAGUUUUAGGUGAAUCGAGAGGAAAGGAAACAGACUGACCGAACAAAAAUAAACCUUUCAUCUUUCUAUUAUAUAUAUAAAUAUGAGGAGUCUAUAUAUAUAAAUAUGAUGAGUCAUGAUUGGGUCGACCCAAUCAUGACUAUGGGACCUUUUCUCGAGAAAUGCUUUUUUUCUCGUUUAGUACUUUACUUGUGUAAACUCUCUCUUUUUCUUUUCUUAGAGAAGCGCAGGAUUCCCUUUCUUCCCGGAACACUAAUACAAUCGCACUUUCUUCCUUGUCCCGCUAACCUAUUAUUUUUUUUAAGACAGAAUUUUUAGCUUGAACUAUCAAUACUAGCCUAAUUGAUUGCUGGAAUGGAACUUGAUGUAACUGGCAGGGACCGCUUAUAUAGAACGCUUGUAGGGAACCGGAAACCAACCUGCUCUGCUAGGGAAACGACCCCGGAGACCAGCCUGAUAGACUAUAUCUAUGAACUUCGAAUAAGUCCCUACUUUCCUAUCCUAAUAAGGGUACUGGCUCGCGAAUGGCCCUACAAAAUGACUCUCCUAAAAUCAAUGUCUGGAAGUCCUUUUAAGAUAGGUUAAUAUAAGAUAUGCUAUGCUUAACACUUAGGCUUAGCAAGAGGGACUGGCGCGUGAGACCGAGAUCGCCAUAGAUUGAUUGUGCAGGCAGGUAAUACUCAUUUUAACUAGAAAGAGGAUAUUAUAUUAUACAUGAGUACUGGUUAUAGUCACACUCCCAAACUCCCGAGAAGUCUUUUUUACUUAACUCUAGGACUUGCUAUAAGGAUGGAUUGCUUUUACCCUCUAUCCCGAUCUCGAAUUGCGCUUGGCCAGGUUGGGCACAAACCCAGGUAGCCCCUAAACCCGGGCUCAGUCAAGAGCGGCAUCUGAAUCCCGCUGCAAUCCCUCCAGCGCAGGUGG
rnacentral:lncRNA from 1 species